GGGGGGGAGCAAGCGUUGUUCGGAAUUGCUGGGCGUAAAGGGCGCGUAGGCGGCCUAGUAAGUCGAGUGUGAAAUGCCGGGGGGCUCAACCCCGUGCACUGCAUUCGAUACUGCCCUGGCUAGAGAAAGGUAGAGGCGAGCGGAAUUCCCGGUGUAGCGGUGGAAUGCGUAGAUAUCGGGAAGAACACCUGUGGCGAAGGCGGCUCGCUGGGCCUUAUCUGACGCUGAAGCGCGAAAGCGUGGGGAGCAAACAGGAUUAGAUACCCUGGUAGUCCACGCCGUAAACGCUGGGUACUAGGUGUCGGGAGGCUUGGCCCUCUCGGUGUCGACGCUAACGCAUUAAGUACCCCGCCUGGGGAGUACGGUCGCAAGGCUG
rnacentral:rRNA from 1 species